UUUAGGGAGACCUACCCUAUCAAUCACCGAAACAAACUGUUUGAAUUUCAGGUAUUGCCUGAAAUUCAGGCAAUCACAAACUGGAAUAGGUGUUGAUAUGGUCAUCCCAAGGUCGUUCGAGAUGAAGACAGAUUGGCUUUCAAACUAGGUUCAGAUUUACUGGUAGUCUUGCUGGGUUUCCAGCAAGGAGCCGGUGAAGAGAUGGAGUAAAUCCCAUUCAGCAAUUCAUCGAGUUGGGUUACCUCAAGUAAAGAGUGAGGAACUAGACUGGAGAGCCUGCUGGGUGAGAACUCAGCCCUUGGGUGAAGCACUCAGGGAAGGACCUUGAAAACUGCAUAGAGAAGAAAGAGUAAGUCAGGUAGAACAUUGUUAUUAGGCUUGAGUUCUGUCGUGAGUUAGAGCCAGAGAAGGUUAGCAAUAGCCAGACGGGGGUGAAGACGCAAGGAUAGAAAUCAGAGACAUUCAGGCAAUUAAUUGGAGUUGACUGAGUGAACUGAUAACAAAUUUACAGACACCAAUGAAACUCAAGUAAUGAAACUGCGGUGCAGCGACUCAAGGAAUUGAGAUUCAAGGAAUUGAGAUUCAAGGAAUUGAGAUUCAAGGAAUUGAGGAUGAGGCGCAGUGGUUUCAAGCAAAGAAUUACCUAGU
rnacentral:misc_RNA from 1 species